UACGGAGGGUGCAAGCGUUAUCCGGAUUCACUGGGUUUAAAGGGUGCGUAGGCGGACAGGUAAGUCAGUGGUGAAAUCUCUGGGCUUAACUCAGAAACUGCCGUUGAUACUAUUUGUCUUGAAUAUCUUGGAGGUAAGCGGAAUAUGUCAUGUAGCGGUGAAAUGCUUAGAUAUGACAUAGAACACCGAUAGCGAAGGCAGCUUACUACAGGAAGAUUGACGGCUGAGGCACGAAAGCGUGGGGAGCAAACAGG
rnacentral:rRNA from 1 species